rnacentral:rRNA from 1 species
AUUGAACGCUGGCGGAAGGCCUAACACAUGCAAGUCGAGCGCGUGUCGGACGGGUGAGUAAUGUAUGGGGACUGCCCGAUAGAGAGGGAUAACUACUGGAAAAGGUAACUAAUAACGCAUACGAUAGGGUAACCCAUAGGGGAGUCGGGAGUAGUUGAGGUAAUGGCUCACCUCGGCGACGAUCCCUAGAUGGUCUGUGAGGAUGAUCAGCCACACUGGGACUGAGACACGGCCCAGACUCCUACGGAGGCAGCAGUGGGGAAGAUUGCACAAUGGGCGCAAGCCUGAUGCAGCCAUGCCGCGUGGAUGAAGAAGGCCCUAGGGUUGUAAAGGACGUUCAGUCGGGAGGCGUUACCGACAGAAGAAGCACCGGCUAACUCCGUGCCAGCCGCCGCGGUAAUUC